rnacentral:lncRNA from 1 species
AUUACCAAAAGGUUAAUCUUGUAGCUGUAGCUGAAGGCUACGAGAAACAACGAUAGAAAUUUAGUUAUAGCUCUUCUCUUUCUAGACCUUGUAAUCCAAAACAAAAUUUGUAUUCAAGGGCACAAUAACAUUUCUUUUGUUUCACUAAAGUCUAUUCUCUUGGUAACAGCGGCUUUCAGGUAACCGAUAUACAAAAGAAACAGGUGUAGAGUUUUUCUCUACACCUGAAGUAAUUACUUCGACAGGUACGUUUUUGAUCAAACUCGGGAUAUUUUCACGCGUUUUUAUUUCAGAAAAGCGUAUUCUAACACACGUUCCUUAUUGUUAUGAAAGCCGAGAAAUCAAAGAAGACUCGCGCGAGAUAACGAACGAAGCAAAACGAACGUGAAUGGUUCGAUCAAGUUGAAUUUAGAAGAGCGCGAAGAUUAUACGUAGAUACAGGUGAUUAGAUAAAUUGCAGGUUGAACAAAUUAUUGGACUACUAAUUUACGAGACGACAAAUGGAAACGAAUGGUUUUGCUAACGACGACGUUUAAAAAUUAACGUGUCUUCGAUCGUAGUGCCGAAGGAUAUUACGAUUUCCUCUAAUAUCUACAACGUCUUAAUUAGUAGAGGAAAUUGCGAAGCAAACAAAAUUUGUCAUUUUACUACUCGUCGUAUAAACGAAACAACUAUAGAAAAUUUAGAAGCGAGGCAGACAAGUGUGACGUGCAAGUUUCGGCACGUGUCGAACCAGCGUCUUAAAAGUAUGGCCAAGCAAGAAGAUAUUGUAUAUACCCAUGAGAAAAUAAGGAUCUGGUCACCCUUUGGAAGUCAGGUUUACAAGGACAGAGGGGAGGUCGAAAAGCAGACAGGGAUAUAACAGGUGGCGCGCGGAACUAAACAGCCCCUUUCCUCGAUCGUCCUUCUUCGGCAGGUACGUACUCACGACCAUUCUAAAGUUCCGCACACUCCGGGGCCUGACACAAAAACUGGCUGCCGUGUUCCGUCUGACUGCGGAAUCUGUCGGGACCUCCUCGUCUCACUUUGUUACGAUCGAUCGGAUGUUAUCCACCCCUCUCCCUUUCGCGCAAUUUCAUGUUAUCUUUCUCCUUACAUGGUUAGUCGAUCGAUAGGUAUUAGGCGAUCUUGAUUUAGUUUACGAGAGUCGGGUAUUUUAUCUACGUAAAUCUACAGUUCGUACGAAAUGUAGAAGUUCGCGUAGGAGAAAUAUAACGUUAUCACGAACACCGAACAAUUUAUGAAACACGAGAACGAUUUAAUAAUUCGGAGAAAUUCGGAGAAAUUUCAGUAGGUAGAUAUUUUACGCUACAUCGAAAUUUUCUUCCAAUUAUGGAAAUUCUCUCUCGUACCUUCGACUUGUGCAACAGUCUCUUGUGACGUAUCUAUUAUCCCGACGCGUAUUUUAGUAACUUCGCUAACCGGAUAACCCACUUUAUACGCGUUUCUUGCUUCUCUCAAGUUCUUUUAGCAUCGCGUUUGUGCAUCUUUUACGCGUUAUCUCAUCGGUUGGCCCUUAAUACGUAAAUCUGUCGUCUCUCUACAGAGAUCGCGUAUAAACGAUGCGAACCACGAAAACUACCUCUCUGUCGAGAAAGGACGAUUCAUCGAUCGGAGCCACGCAGAUGUUCGCAGACCCGAGCGAUGGAAUUUCUCUGAAAUAUCAUGUUCGUUAGUCGGAGAGAAUAGAUUUGACUAGACGCGUAUCUGCAUCGGUAAGAUCAAAAGGAUUAAACCUCGUCGAUAUUCCUCCGUAUUUAUCCAAGGAAUCGUUUAAUCGCGAAUUAUUAUCCUACAAAGGAUGGUAAACUGACAGUAGCGAGAGCCCUGGCGACUAUAACAGACUACGAGAGAGCGAAACAUUCAAUUACGCGUUUCUUGAUCACGACUCUUUCGCUUUUCUACCAUUCGCAGAACGUAUCAAAAGUGGCAGGAUAAACAGGACGAAGGCACGAAUCAACAGGCACAUCGAUGGAACACCGGCAUUAGAAGCGAAACGGUAAUGGACCGGGCUAUAAUUAUUCCGUGUUCCGCGGAGCAAACAGCCGGUAACGACCGAAUUUGCAUCUGGAUACAAUCGUGCAGCCAUGGAAAUAACAGAAACUCGCUGGUUCAAGGAGAACAUUUCCGGCGAACAAUUAGAAAUAAUGGCCGUUCCACGUCGAUGUAGCAAUCAUUGUUAAUUGACAUCGAAGGAGCUGCGAAACGAUUCGGCUCGACGUGGGUCUCCACCUGCUCCCGGAUCCCUCGAAAAUUGCGCGCAAUUUCGUUCGAAGGUUGAAAUUCAUUUUCAGGUACACCGAGUAUCCGAUCUUCCUUUUUUCACGGCAUAUGCGAUUGUUUUUGCAGCAGUAGAAUUAAAAAGCGUAGUAGGGUAGGGGUUGUUCGAGUUAAGAUCGAACUCGAAGACGUUCGAUCUUGAAUUUUGUACGAAAUGAUCGAACUUGUAUAUCGCCGGACGUCAUCUUUACCAAUCAUUGAUGCGAUAACGAAAGAGAAUGAGAACGUAUCGUACCCCUGAUCUUUAUAUAUUUAGUAUAUUAUACUUUAGUAUAUUAUAUUAUAAUGUUUUUUAAUUCAAAACUCGUCGUAAAGUACACGAUAAGUCGCGUCUAUCGUAGUAUUUUCUAGAGGCAAACGGGUUUAAGAUUCAGCGCAUUUUUCGUUCUUUUCCAAACUUUCGAGUCACGAUAUUACGCUAUCGAAGAUAUUAAGGCAUCGUUCGUAUUAAUAAUUCUACAUUUCAGUUUCGUAAAACUUCGUCGAUUCGGCUACGUUCGAGAGACUUACGUCUGUAGCCCGAAAUAAGUAGCUUCUGUUUUCAAUUACGUCAUAUUAAAAGUCGCCUGUUUAAUCACAGAGCGAGAAAAAAAAGUUAGAAACUCGAUGUGUCCCAAGGGAAAGAUCAAGCCGGACGAAAAAUAAAACGAAGACGACGUUGAAGAUUUGAGAAAGGCGAACAUCGAGACCUUCGUCCUGCAAGCGAACGGAUGCACGCUUCGACCAGACUUGAUUUUCUUUCGUCUCUCCCUCUUCUUUCUCUUCUUCUGUCUUUCCUCUCAGAUGCUUUUCGAUCCCCUCUAACCUACUCUCUCUCCUUCGUCUUUUCUAUCUUUCGUUCGCUCGAAAUCGUUCGCUUCGCUGGUCGUUUCUCUCUUGGUAACCGAUGGAGGACAUCUCACCGCUAAUUAUGAUUAAUUUGUGAGACGAGCGAACGGGUCUCGAAGUCAGCGGCUACCAAGAUGCAAGGGAUCAGCCGUGGGGGGAAUGUAAUUAAUAUUCUCAGCGGGAGUGCGUUGUAACGUCACGUGAACGUCACCCAGGUGACUCCGUCGUUCUUCUCAUCCUAGUUUGGAGGCUUCGGCUCUCCUCCUUCCGUGCCAACGUUCUGCCGUGAAUACGCAUAAUAAAAGCCCGGGGACGAUGGCUGCUAAUUGCUGUUUAAGCCGUGGCGAGUCAUCGUAACUAGCGAUGGGAUCAAGUUCGACGCGUGUUUGGAAAAGUCCAAGUCGAUCUUCAUACUCGAACUUCGUUUCGUGGAUUUCGAAUAGCACUCGUACGAAAUAAUAAUUCCUUCGUUAUCGAUUAUUAUCGUCGGUCGUUAUCGAAUGAAAUCGAUCGUUUGAAAUCAUAUAGGAGCGAGGUUUCAAACCGAUUUUGACUUUCGGAUAAUGAAAAGAAGUCACAGAGUCUGAGAUACAUACGUACGUGUAUCGCGCGUAUACAAUUUUCUUUCAACUUAGAAAUUCGUUAACAGACUUUAUGGAUGAAAUUACAAGGCAGCCUCGUUCGUUACGGUACGAUAUCAUUAUCGUGCAAUUUCGUUUUGUAUGCUCGGAAUUUCAACACGGAUAAUUCCGUGGCACCGAAGAGCGAGGGUAUAGUGGUUUCUUUAUGGAAACAAGGGGGAUCCGGAUCCGUCGAUGAUCGAUCGAGUCAAAAUAAACGCGCAUCUAGUAUUAUGUAUCGAGUUAGGCUACUGUGUAGCGUGGAUCGAUCCGGUUUCUUUCCGAGAACGAGUUAGCGCAUAGUUGGUCGUCCGAGAAAGAGUUUGCUUUAGAAAAUAAAAUCAUCGGUGUCUUUGAGUUAACAUCGAUGAUUUCCGAUAGCUAUUUUCACUCGUAACAGUGACAUCGAUUUCCGUAACGACGAACGAGAAAAGUCGCUAGAUUCGAACGGUAGAAUGUCGAAAGUGUAACGAGUACUAAAAUGAUAUACGGCUACGAUGAAAUGGUCGGGAGAAAUUUUUAGUUAAUUGAGAGUUUGUUUUUCAAGAUACGUGGAGUGUGUGUAAAAAGUAAUAAUCGGACAUACCGAUGAGAUAAUAUACUUGGAUUAUGAUAUAAAAGUAAGUAUUCACGUAACGAUAGAAGGUGAAAAACUGCGAAGAAAAUAACGCGUGACAGGCUCUAUUUUUAAAAUAACAGCCUUAACUGCGAGAUUAUGGAAGUUAAGAGGUCGAGCAUAACGAAAAUUAUCUGAUAGCGUGGAAUUACUAUUUUCGAUGGUAUAAACGAAAGUUAUCUUGAUAGUCCACGGCACAGGGCCAACCGAUAAGGCGAUGCAAUUUGGAACGCCGAAUAUUCUACCUAUACGCUUAGUUACUUCCCUUGUUUCACGUCGCGAAUAAUACCCAUCUUAAAUUCAACUUGGUAUUACGAAUGUUUUUCACGAAUAUCGAGUAUACCGUAUUACGUAAAAAUAUUCGAAAUAUUCUGGCAAUUUAAUUCAUAGUUCGUAUUAUGAAUCGAUAAUUUUAACAUUUGUGGUGAAAAUAAUCCUGUCUACUAUCGAAUUUUUAAUACGCGCGCAAAAUGUACUCAUCGAUUUUAUCGAUUCGACGUCAAGUUAACGAGAAAGCGACAAAGCACUGUGCUUUCCCUACCGUUCCCAUAUAAAAAAACGACGAAAAAGCUCUUACUUCUUUAACGAUACCACCGAUAAAGAUCUAAACUUGCGUAAACGCUAUUUACACCGGUCUACUUACGGUGUCGUAUAAUCAAAUUUUAAGACACACCGGAUUGCCCCAAAUGAUUCUUUCGUUUCACAGGGAAAUGACAGAUAUGGAUAUGUUCUAUCGAAACAAAAUGGAUCAUACGUAAUUCGAUGAAAUAAUAUAAAACAAAAAAUGUGCAUCUAUUAUUUCC